GGUUGUGUAGUGUAGUGGUUAUCACUUUGGAUUUUGAUAUGAUACAGUUUCCAAUAACCCCGGUUCGAACCCGGGCACGACCU
rnacentral:tRNA from 1 species